CUCCAGACUCCUACGGGAGGCAGCAGUGGGGAAUAUUGCACAAUGGGGGAAACCCUGAUGCAGCGACGCCGCGUGAGUGAAGAAGUACUUCGUUACGUAAAGCUCUAUCAGCAGGGAAGAAAAUGACGGUACCUGAGUAAGAAGCCCCGGCUAACUACGUGCCAGCAGCCGCGGUAAUACGUAGGGGGCAAGCGUUAUCCGGAAUCACUGGGUGUAAAGGGAGCGUAGACGGCUGUGCAAGCCUGAAGUGAAAGGCGGGGGGCCAACCCCUGGACUGCUUUGGGAACUGUACGGCUGGAGUGCAGGAGAGGGAAGUGGAAUUCCUAGUGUAGCGGUGAAAUGCGUAGAUAUUAGGAGGAACACCAGUGGCGAAGGCGGCUUACUGGACUGUAACUGACGUUGAGGCACGAAAGCGUGGGGAGCAAACAGGAUUAGAUGCCCUCGUACAG
rnacentral:rRNA from 1 species